GCCGUCGUGGGCCAUGGUGGCUGCUCCCGCAAUAUUGUCUGUUUGAUCUAAUCGACUGGGGUAGGCGGAGGUUCGAUUCCUCCCGACGGCA